GACGAACGCUGGCGGCGUGCUUAACACAUGCAAGUCGAACGGUAAGGCCCUUCGGGGUACACGAGUGGCGAACGGGUGAGUAACACGUGGGUGAUCUGCCCUGCACUUCGGGAUAAGCCUGGGAGACUGGGUCUAAUACCGGAUAGGACCCUGGGAUGCAUGUCCUGGGGUGGAAAGCUUUUGCGGUGUGGGAUGGGCCCGCGGCCUAUCAGCUUGUUGGUGGGGUGAUGGCCUACCAAGGCGACGACGGGUAGCCGGCCUGAGAGGGUGACCGGCCACACUGGGACUGAGAUGCGGCCUAGACUCCUACGGGAGGCAGCAGUGGGGAAUAUUGCACAAUGGGCGCAAGCCUGAUGCAGCGACGCCGCGUGAUGGAUGACGGCCUUCGGGUUGUAAACCUCUUUCAGCACCGACGAAGCGCAAGUGACGGUAGGUGCAGAAGAAGGACCGGCCAACUACGUGCCAGCCGCCGCCGUAA
rnacentral:rRNA from 1 species